rnacentral:rRNA from 1 species
UGGGGAAUUUUGCGCAAUGGGCGAAAGCCUGACGCAGCAACGCCGCGUGAGUGAUGAAGGCCUUCGGGUCGUAAAGCUCUGUCAGAGGGGAAGAACCACUCGGGGGGUAAUAUCCUUCGAGCCUGACGGUACCCUCAAAGGAAGCACCGGCUAACUCCGUGCCAGCAGCCGCGGUAAUACGGAGGGUGCAAGCGUUGUUCGGAAUUAUUGGGCGUAAAGCGCGUGUAGGCGGUCAAUUAAGUCUGAUGUGAAAGCCCCGGGCUCAACCCGGGAAGUGCAUUGGAAACUGGCUGACUUGAGUACGGGAGAGGGUAGUGGAAUUCCGAGUGUAGGGGUGAAAUCCGUAGAUAUUCGGAGGAACACCGGUGGCGAAGGCGGCUACCUGGACCGAUACUGACGC